rnacentral:lncRNA from 1 species
UUUUGCAGGAUACUGUUUUAUUCUUUAGCUUAAACACAGAUAGCGCCAGACAAAAAAAAGGCCCAUCACUGUUAUUCUCACUUUAAGUUACUAUUCCCAGACCACUGUCUUUCUUCAAGUCUAUUAAGCUGCCCUACUCAGCCUGGAGUAGGCAACUCUUCUCAACCAGAGCUUCAUCCCUAGAGGAAGUCUUUUAACUAAUUGUGUUACUGUUAUCUGACAGUCACCCUUUAGCCUUUAAAUCAAAUAUAAUUUCAGAUGUUCAUGAGCUUGAUGGCACAGAAUAUUUUUCAUCAUUCUACAGUGUAAGCCAUGAUUCUUCCAGUUUAAUGACACUGUUCUUACAGUUAGGUUGUACCCAAUGCAUUUAGCUGCUGGUACUACACAGAGACAGCCCUAUACUGUUAACUCAUGAAUACAGACAUACCUGUGAGGGUUAUGGUUGGAACUCUUUUGAGUUAGCUUCACCCAGUAAACUUCACAAUAAUCUUCCACACCUCAUUGCCUUACUUUGCUGGAAUUUCACCUCGUGAGUUGCAAUUAUUCAGGGUUUUCUGGUUUGAGGGUUUGGUUUUUUGUUUGGUUUUGUGUAGAGGAGUAUUUUGAAAGAUUUUAAAUUAUUCAGACUUUUUAAAAUACAAAAUGCCUGGAAACAGUCAGGUGUUCCUUGGCCAGACGGUUUUGAAGAAACCUAUUUUUUUCCUGAAUGAACUCUAGAAUCUGAGUUCAAAAUGUGUCAGAGACCCAGGCCUCAAUCUGGUAAAUCAUGUAUGCACAACCCUAAGAUUAGACACAUGCUUAGUACUCAUAUCAAGCUGGUUUAGCCUUCGUGAACGUGAUGAGCUCUGCAAGUCCUUGUACUGCCAAAGGACGAGAGACACAUCCUGUAUACCCUUAAGAUCUGAGGGCUGGCGAAGUGUUGACGCAAUUCAAAGGGAAGACAAUCAAGUAGGCACCAUCAUCACUGUGCCACUCAAAUGCUAUCUUUUUCCGAACUAGGAUUGAAGAUUAUUUCACUGCAAACAGAAGAUCACCUCAUGAUCUACUGAUAGAGGUUGUAUUUUAGCUUUACAAAAAAUACCUUCCCACCAGCAAUUGAUGAAUGUAAGAUUUAAUCCAAGUACAUGUCUCCUUGCUUCCCCAGGAGUGUUUUCAGAUCUUCAGAACAACCAAGGGAGUUUGUAAAACUUUUCUGUAAUUCUCC